CUUGACAUCCAGAGAAUUUAGCAGAGAUGCUUUAGUGCCUUCGGGAACUCUGAGACAGGUGCUGCAUGGCUGUCGUCAGCUCGUGUUGUGAAAUGGUUGGGUUAACGUCCGCAACGAGCGCAACCCUUAUCCUUUGUUGCCAGCACGUAAUGGUGGGAACUCAAAGGAGACUGCCGGUGAUAAACCGGAGGAAGGUGGGGAUGACGUCAAGUCAUCAUGGCCCUUACGAGUAGGGCUACACACGUGCUACAAUGGCGUAUACAAAGAGAAGCGACCUCGCGAGAGCAAGCGGACCUCAUAAAGUGCGUCGUAGUCCGGAUUGGAGUCUGCAACUCGACUCCAUGAAGUCGGAAUCGCUAGUAAUCGUAAAUCAGAAUGUUACGGUGAAUACGUUCCCGGGCCUUGUACACACCGCCCGUCACACCAUGGGAGUGGGUUGCAAAAGAAGUAGAUAGCUUAACCUUCGGGAGGGCGUUUACCACUUUGUGAUUCAUGACUGGGGUGAAGUCGUAACAAGGUAGGCGUAGUGCU
rnacentral:rRNA from 1 species